AACGAACGCUGGCGGCAGGCUUAACACAUGCAAGUCGAGCGCAUCCUUCGGGGUGAGCGGCAGACGGGUGAGUAACGCGUGGGAAUCUACCUUUUGCUACGGAAUAGCUCCGGGAAACUGGAAUUAAUACCGUAUGUGCCCUUAGGGGGAAAGAUUUAUCGGCAAGAGAUGAGCCCGCGUUGGAUUAGCUAGUUGGUGGGGUAAAGGCCUACCAAGGCGACGAUCCAUAGCUGGUCUGAGAGGAUGAUCAGCAACAUUGGGACUGAGACACGGCCCAAGCUCCUAGGGGAGGCAGCAGUGGGGAAUAUUGGACAAUGGGCGCAAGCCUGAUCCAGCCAGGCCGCGUGAGUGAUUAAGGCCUUAGGGUUGUAAAGCUCUUUCACCGGAGAAGAUAAUGACGGUAUCCGGAGAAGAAGCCCCGGCUAACUUCGUGCCAGCCGCCGCCGUAAAAC
rnacentral:rRNA from 1 species